CCUACGGGUGGCAGCAGUGAGGAAUAUUGGUCAAUGGGCGCGAGCCUGAACCAGCCAAGUCGCGUGAGGGAGGACGGCCCUACGGGUUGUAAACCUCUUUUGCCGGGGAGCAACCGGCGCCGCGUGUGGCGUCACUGAGAGUACCCGGAGCAAAAGCAUCGGCUAACUCCGUGCCAGCAGCCGCGGUCAUACGGAGGAUGCGAUCGUUAUCCGGUUUGAUUGGGUUUAAAGGGUACGUAGGCGGAUGGUUAAGUCAGUGGGCAAAUUUAGGGGCUCAACCCCUUCCCGCCAUUGAAACUGGCGUUCUUGAGUGGAAGAGAAGUAUGCGGAAUGAGUGGUGUAGCGGUGAAAUGCAGAGAGAUCACGCAGAACCCCGAUGGCGAAGGCAGCAUGCCGGCUUCCGACUGACGCUGAAGCACGAAAGCGUGGGGAGCGAACAGGAUUAGAUACCCGGGUAGUC
rnacentral:rRNA from 1 species